GCCAGUCAAUUGUUUUUUCUGCUGGACUGUGCUGGGAGUGCUGACUCUCUGGGCUGUGCACCGAAUAAGAAUUGCUGGAGGAGGAAAGGGUGUGCUGGGUGAACUUUCCUUGUUGUAAGUGGCAUGGGUGCAAUUGAUUGCACCCGUGCGGCGUUAAACCCCCCCCAUGACAGGAAGCACAUUUUCUGCAACAGGAAGAGCUACCACUCCCUCGAUGUACAAGUGGUGUGCACAAAUGAAUAUUCUCAGCAUCGUGUCUGGCUUCCUCGGCUCCUCUCACUAUGCUUACAUCUAAAGGCAGUCCAGGAUUUAUGAUGCUUUUGAAACCGGACAAAUGCCUCAUGGGUGGCUGUUAAGAGAUGCUGGUUACCCGUGCUCUAGGUGGCUCAUCACCCCCAUUCACAGGCCGCGUACGCGGGCUGAGUGUGCUUUUAACGAAGCACAUGUCAGAACGCGGUCUAUGAUUGAGCGGACAUUUGGGGUCCUUAAAAGCCGCUUCCACUGCCUGGAUAAGUCGGGAGGCAGCUUAAUGUACAGCCCGUAUAAAGUUUCCCAAAUUGUGGCUGUGUGUGCUGUACUGCACAAUCUUGCUAACGGGCAUGGCUUACCUGGCAAUGUGGCUGAGGACCUGGAUGACCCCAUACAUCCCCAAGAUCCUGUCUGAGGUGCGGAUGCCAGAGGGAAUCAAGUCCGGGCACAAAUCGUUACCAAUUACUUUUCCUGAUGGCAUUGUGGGGAGUGGAGCAGAUUAGAGGAGGACUGUCCAGCAGAGCGUCUGUGGCCACCUUUUUGAAAAAUGUUUAAAUGUUUGUAAUGAUGUUCAUGAUGCCAGGCAAACUUCAUGGACAAUGUUUCUCAUUUGUUUUACAACAUGACAAAGUUAAUUUUGCAAAAA